rnacentral:rRNA from 1 species
UACGGAGGGAGCUAGCGUUGUUCGGAAUUACUGGGUGUAAAGCGCACGUAGGCGGCUUUGUAAGUUAGAGGUGAAAGCCCGGGGCUCAACCCCGGAAUUGCCUUUAAGACUGCAUCGCUUGAAUCCAGGAGAGGUGAGUGGAAUUCCGAGUGUAGAGGUGAAAUUCGUAGAUAUUCGCAAGAACACCAGUGGCGAAGGCGGCUCACUGGCCCGAUACUGACGCUGAGGCACGAAAGCGUGGGGAGCAAACAGG